UGGUAACUCCAAACCAUUGCCGG
rnacentral:miRNA from 1 species